rnacentral:lncRNA from 1 species
UCAAAUCCCAGAAAAUUCGGCCAGAAAUCUACAGCGCCCAUACUCAUCCUGUCCCCUCGUCCUCUUUUGUCAAAUAGCCCCAUCCUUUCUAUUGUUUUCGGAAAAACGGGGAUUUGAAAUUCAAAUUUUUAAUCUGUUUUCCCUCUAAUCGAAUUCAUUUUUCUCCUAUAAAAAUCCAUCUUUGCUUUCGGUUUUAGGGGAGGAAAAAUUAUUCUUGAACAAUUGACUUUUACGCUUGAGAAAUUUUGAAUGCAUUUUUAGUCCUAGAUUUUAAAAGGGUCUUCGGCUAAGAUUUGUUUGGAUUUUUUAUUUUAUUGCUCGAGGUUUGAAGUCGGUGUUGAAGUUGUUCUUAAGCUCGUAUUGGUCCCGGUUCGCUGCUCCGAAAAGGGUAACAACUCCUCUUCUCUCAUUUCAUUUUUAUUUCAGUUAAUUUGUUCUCUGUUUGGUGAAGUAGUUGCAUAUCCAUAUUUGUUUCUUUCCGUUUGAACUCUCUUAGUGCUAUAAUGCAUCGACCCCCCCCCCCCCAAAAAAAAACGACUCUUUCUCCUUCUAUAUAUUCCCUCUCUCAAUCCCUGUUAUAGGGGGAUUUUAAAAAGAAAAGAAAAGGGGGAGAUAGAAAAAAUAAUAUAGCAAGGUAUAGAGAAAUAUAAAUCUAUAAGAGGUGCUCUCGAAGCAGAGAAGAGAACCAUUUUUUUUUAUCUGAGCUCCACCCUCUCCAUUAGUUGGUUGAGAAUUUCCAAGGUUUUAAGUCGCUGAUUGGUGGAGGAAUCGUUGUUACCUCGCUCGUUUUCGUCUCCGUUCGCUGCACUUUGGAAGGUAACAACUCCUCUUCUCUCAUUUCAUUUUUAUUUCAGUUAAUUUGUUCUCUGUUUGGUGAAGUAGUUGCGUAUCCAUAUUUGUUUCUUUCCGUUUGAACUCUCUUAGUGCUAUAAUGCAUGAAUUAGGAUGAUGUAGUAGCUAGUUUUAUGGUGCAAUGUCCUCAUUUCUCACUGUCUGUUGUUGCUUUGGUUUGAGAGUGAGAAAACAAUAGAAACUUCAUGUAUUUUGCUUCACACCCUUACCCCUCAACUGAAGACAAGUGUUCUUGUAUGUUUAUUUUGAAUAGUAUUUUAGCUAGAUUAACUAAUUUCUUGAAAUUGUGAUUGUUCCUUUUAUUAAAAUUUCCCUUAGAAUUGUAGCUAAGUGUUAAGGUAUGUCUUUUCUUUUCCGCAGAAUGUGAAAUUCUUGCUUAAAAUAGUUAAAUGGGUUUGUGUAUAAUGAGACAGCCCUAACCCCUACAUUUUAAUUUGUUACUAUCGAAAUGUCCUGAAAGCUCUCAUUUAAAUUCAUUGUUCGAAAAUCUGAUCCUAUUUUGAGGAUUAAGUCAUCAGUGAUCUAGUUAAUCCAAGCAUGGCUUUAGGUUCUUAUUUUAAUAUCUUAUCCAAUUAGGCAUAUUUGUGAGUGCUGAGUAGAUUUAAAAAAUUAUGGCCUUGAGGUUUGCUAUUGUAAAGGUUCCUUGUUAAUCCUAGUUUGAAUUCGCGCGGUAGAUAUAUCUAUCCUCUGUUUUCGAUCAACUUGAGUGGUAUAUAUCUCUUUGGAUUUAAACUCAUGACGGGAUGCUUGUAACUCUACCAUUUUAAUGUGACGAUUUAACUAAGAUUGCUCUUAUUUUCCAAAAGAAUAAAAAAUAAAAUAGCCCUCCCCAUCUUUGUCCAAAGUCUAAAAAAUAUCCUUCUAAUUUUUAACUUGUUGUUUAACUUAGUUAUUUACUCGAACGUUAAUAUUCAACAGUGAUAUGAACCUUGUUUUGUAUUAUGCCAUUGUUUAACAUAUUUGCUUAUGUUGCCUAGUUUAGUUAUUUAAAUGUAGUUAUUUUCUUCCUUUGCCUAUAAUGAGUUAAUUAGCUAUUGUCUUCAAUUUUGAUCCUUCGAUAUGACAAACCGGCAACCUUAAGUCCCCAUAGAUAGAGCUAGUUUUGUAUUGUAUGAGGUGAUGUUAGCUCUUUAAUAUAUCUUUGGAUCGCAUCAAUUAUUGCUUAUAAAUUUUAGUCAUAUGUACGUAUGUGUGGGCAUGUGCUUUGGAAGUUUCAUGUGGCUUGAUUUUCAUUACCUUAGUAUAAGUUUUAUUACCUCCUAUUUUGUGUUGAACUUAGUGACCUUUUGGUCUUAAUUUGGUCUAAAAGUGACUGUAGUAAUAUUUGCCUCUCAAAAAGUAUUUAAGCCACUUUCAUCUUGAUUUUAAGUUACGUCUUAAUUGUUCCCUUAAUUCGUACACUAAUUUUUAUACUCGCUUUUUGUUGCAUAUAAAACUCCAUUCGAGUUCACUUUGGACUCCACUCUCGCAUAUCCUUGAGUCUUUCGAGUCAUCCUCAUAUAUUCGGUGAAAAAGAAGUU